CUCGCGAACAAGCGCAAACGAACAAGACAGUACGCAGGGAAACACAAACGAACGCAGAUGAACUUAAACGAAGACGAAUAAGCACGAACGAACUCAUAGUUGCGCGCAAGAUCCGACUUCUCCAAUGUCUGUUGCCACCGACCUGGGGAUCUGUCCGACCCAAAGUCCAGGUUCCACUGUACUAUCGUCCGUAUUGCACGAUCAUGAACGAACAUAUUUCAUUAUUAUUAACUACUAUUAUCAACGAAUAUAUUGUCGAUGAUUGUUUGUUUGUUUGUCGACUUUGCAUACAGAAAGAAAAACUGGCUACCUUCCUCCGGCAUUAUUUAUAUACCGUGAUAAUUUUGUUUCCAUGCGAACGAAAAACGAACAAAACAUUCCACUUAUUUAUCGCAUCUUUCGUACAUACCAAUCUAUAAUUAAAAGAACACGCCUGUAGCACGAUAACCAUAUAUUUUCAUAAUUCUAUAAUUAUCUAUAAUAUAUUUUCGGUAAUUUCAGUAAAUUUCUGUAUAAUUCAUGCGAUCCGAACCGACAAAAAAAAUGAAGCUGAGAUAACAAUCGGAACAACAUGGAACGCUAUCGCUGCAUAGAUCCGUAUCGUCGGGCACGCUUCUGAAAGAAGCCAUUUAAGCAGAUGAUCUAAAUAGUCUGCGAUAGCUGGCAAGGAAAAAGGUUGACGAAGAAAGAGGAACGCUACGAAUGCUGCAGAAUGUUUGCUGUAGAAUAUAUGUAAUUACGUAACCAAGGGAGUGCAAUAGAAUAGAGUGGAAAAGAUAUUGUACUAUUGGUAGAUAUGUAAGAAAAGAAUUAGACAUAAGUGAUUUAAAACCGAA